rnacentral:misc_RNA from 1 species
UUAAUUUUUAAAUUAAAUUAAAUUUUAAUGAAAACUUUUUGUUAUUUUGGACAAAAAGUUUGAAAUAAGCAAACUUGAAAUCAGAGAAAUUGAUGUAAGUACAACAGAUUUGUUCAGUGAUCAUGUGCUCAGCGAUCACCUCCGCUAACCAUAUUCUUCUUCUCUUCUCGACUUUUUUCAAUUUUCCUUGAUUAGAGACCAUCAUUGCCAUGGCUGACGCGACGCUAGCAGGAGGUUCAUUUAUCUCUCUGCUUUCCUCUCAGUUUUGUUUGCUACGCUAUCAUUUCAUGAGGUUCUGAAAUUUCCCUAAUCCUCUGAAUUUCUUUUCACUUUCCUGGUAGGGAAAAAAAUGAUCACCUGUAAGAACUUCUGUCUUCAAGUUUGGCGCAAGAGGGGCACAAUAUACAAACGUGACAAUGCUCUCAAUUUGGUGGAUAUUGUGUGUUUCAUCGAAGAUGUGUUCUACAGCCAUUUACCUCAACCAUUUGGGUAUUGGAAUAGGAUCAACUUCGCAGCUUCACAUAAUAAAAAAAGAUAAAAAGAGAAAAAAAAAAAAAA